rnacentral:SRP_RNA from 1 species
AGCCGGGGUGUUAGCGGUACCUUGUACCUGCAAUCCGCUAUAGCAGGGGUGAAAUUGCGCAGAGGGCGACAGCCGGCAGGGCUGCCCCCGGUAAGUGAUGUUGAUGUCUGGGUCUCACGCGACGGGAACCUGUGAACCGUGUCAGGUCGGGAACGGAGCAGCACUAAGCAGGAGCUCUCGGGUGCCGUGAGGGUGCCUGGGCUGAGUUAACUGCCGGGGUAACGUC